AGUGAACGCUGGCGGUAGGCCUAACACAUGCAAGUCGAACGGCAGCACAGUAAGAGCUUGCUCUUACGGGUGGCGAGUGGCGGACGGGUGAGGAAUACAUCGGAAUCUACUUUUUCGUGGGGGAUAACGUAGGGAAACUUACGCUAAUACCGCAUACGACCUACGGGUGAAAGCAGGGGAUCUUCGGACCUUGCGCGAUUGAAUGAGCCGAUGUCGGAUUAGCUAGUUGGCGGGGUAAAGGCCCACCAAGGCGACGAUCCGUAGCUGGUCUGAGAGGAUGACGGCCCAAGGUGAAGAUGAGAAACGGGCAAGCCACCGAGGGGGGGCACAGGUGGGGAAUUUGGGAAAAGGGGGGAAAGCCUGACCCACCCUUCCCGGGUGGGUGAAGAAGCCCUUGGGGUUGUAAAGCCUUUUUGUGGGGAAAAAAAACCAGCGGGUUAAACCCCCGUUGUUUGGGGGGUACCAAAAAAAAAAGCACGGGCAAAUUUGGU
rnacentral:rRNA from 1 species